rnacentral:sRNA from 1 species
GUCGGGUUCGGGAUGAAAUGGUUGGCUCGCUCGCCCAUCAGCGCGAUCGUGCGCUUGCCGUCCUGCACCAUCUGCACCCCGCGGCGCUUGAACUCCUU